AUGUCUGCCAUGGAGAUUUUUAGGCAUGUCAGAGAAAUUGAUUGUUAUCUGAAUAUCUUCAUUGCUUAUCGCAUCUUAUUUACUGUGCCUGUGACGGUCGCAUCGCCUGAAGGAAGCUUUUCAAAGCUGAAAUUGUUGAAGAAUUAUUUUGAGGUCAACAAUGACUCAAGAGAGGUUAAAUGGUUUGGCUACAUUAUGCAUCGAGAAGAAAUUAUUGGAUGA
rnacentral:rRNA from 1 species